AAGGCUUUAAGUUAAUAAAACUAAUAGCCUUCAAAGCUAUCGAUAUAAGUUAUAAUCUUUUAAGCCUUA
rnacentral:tRNA from 1 species